CACAUUCAGAAUUUGGUUACUCUGUUUCAAAGUAACAAGAUUGUUAAAGACUGAUAAAUUGAUGGUAUAGAAAAAAAGGACUGAAAAAGAAGGAAAAAAUUAAGGGUCCAUGAGCUUGUUUUCGAGAUAUAAGCCUUUAAAAAUUUGGCGGCAGAUGAUUCUCUCUAGACUUUUCAUACAUUUCAAAUUGUAACCUUUUUU
rnacentral:lncRNA from 1 species